CUUAUAUUGAUCUAGAUCUCUUGUAUAAUAUCUAGAAUAAUAUAGAUCUACAACACCUAGGCCUAGACUAAAGUUAAAGACUAAGACUUCACUUUCACAUCACAUUCAGUCAUUCACACGAUAUUUGAUACAGACAGUGAAUGAAACGAAUGCAGUAGUUAUACUGAUUAUACUUAAAGUGACGAUACUACUUAUAGAUCUACCAGUUGAUAAACAUCAUCAUCAUAGAUAAUAAUCUACAUCUAUAAUCAUAGUGCCCUUUAUGUAGUCAAUAUAGUCAAGUCAAGGUAGUGGAACGUAAACUCGAAGGUUUAAUACAAUAUGUUAUUAACAAGUAGAACCAUGGCAACCAGUUCUGAUGAUGUACCAGAAUGGCUCAAGGAUCAUACUUAUACUAUUUCUACUCUCUGGGCAUCCAUUCAAUAUUUAAUUUAUGUUUGGAAAUGCAAGAAAAAGGCAUGCAUUCCUGAAAAGUCAAUGAUUGGUUGCACCUCUUAAAGAUAACUUUCUGUUAUGAGAAAAGAUGAGAUUCUUGGACUCCUGCAUAGCACCACCAGAAAGGAAAAUCCCAUCAUGUUGCAAAAUAAAAGUCUUGGACCAAUUUUAAUUUAAGAUAUAUAUAUUAUACUGUAAGCUGUAUACAUAUUUAUGUAUAUCCUGUCAUUCAGCCAACAGGUUUGGAUUUAGUAUUUCUUUAAAUCUGUUUGAUAUUGUACUUGAAAACUAUUAAUCUGAGCCCCAUUAAAACAAGAGGGAGUGCAGUGGAUGAGUGGUAAGGGAAAUUUUACUUUUUUUAAAUUAAAAUAAGAAUCUAACAAAAGUAAACAUAUAAAAUAUGGUGCAUUCUCCUUAAAACUAAAACCUGGUGCAAAGGUUUAAAAUGUUGGCAAAAAAAAAAGCAACAUCAAUUAAAUAUUCUUAAUUCCCUUUGCAAAACUUACUGAGAAGAACAUGCAUGUUGUUCCCUCAUAAGUUUCUUGACAGAGGAAAUCUUGUUUAUAUUAGAUUUGAAUUAAGCAAAUUAAGAAAAAAAUUAUAAUCAUUAUUUCAAAUGGUUGUAUCUAAACCUUAUGAAUUAUUUUUCAGUUAUAAGUAUAUUGAAAUGAAUGGAUAAUCAUGAAAUUGUUAAAUAAUUGCUGCUAUCAUUCCAUUGACUAAAGAACCAUAAUUUUUUUUUAAAAUUAAUUUCAAAAUGAAUUAAUUAAUUAAUUUUCAAGCAGAGUUCACAUAGAUCUUGAGUGAAAUUUUUCUUUUUUUGACUAAUGCUUCAAUUUUAUUGUAUCAUUAGUUUUUUAUUUUUAUUACCCAGAAUAUUUUAAAAAUGAGUACACUAUUUUCAUAUAAUA